rnacentral:rRNA from 1 species
UACGUAGGUGGCAAGCGUUGUCCGGAUUUACUGGGCGUAAAGCGCACGUAGGCGGACCAGUUAGUUGGGGGUGAAAUCCCGGGGCUCAACCCCGGAACUGCCUCCAAAACUGCUGGUCUGGAGGUCGAGAGAGGUGAGUGGAAUUCCGAGUGUAGAGGUGAAAUUCGUAGAUAUUCGGAGGAACACCAGUGGCGAAGGCGGCUCACUGGCUCGAUACUGACGCUGAGGUGCGAAAGCGUGGGGAGCAAACAGG